CCCUACGGGGGGCAGCAGUGGGGAAUAUUGCACAAUGGGGGGAACCCUGAUGCAGCGACGCCGCGUGGGUGAAGGAGUACUUCGGUACGUAAAGCCCUAUCAGCAGGAAAGAAAAUGACGGUACCUGACUAAGAAGCCCCGGCUAACUACGUGCCAGCAGCCGCGGUAAUACGUAGGGGGCAAGCGUUAUCCGGAUUUACUGGGUGUAAAGGGAGCGUAGACGGCAGUGCGAGUCCGGAGUGAAAGCCCGGGGCUCAACCCUGGGACUGCUCUGGAAACUGCAAAGCUGGAGUGCGGGAGGGGCG
rnacentral:rRNA from 1 species